rnacentral:misc_RNA from 1 species
GUUAGGCUCUUCAAUUACAGAGUAAUAAAAAUUUUCCAAUUGCAUAAUGGAUAACUGAAAAUUGUCCUUCUAUGGCAAUUAAAAAAAAGAAAAAGAAUAUUGUUCAAGAAUAAAUCACAAAGAAGAAAGAAGUUUCAGCGAAAAUAAAAUAAAAUAAAAUGAAAAACAAAACGAAUGAAACACAUCAAGUGUCGAUUUACCAUCUUGUGGAUUUCUGCCCUCAGAAACUGGAAACCUGAUGGCAUAUUGAACAAAUAGCAUCAGUCUGUUGCAAAUAUGUUCUUGAUCUCAGAGCAGUUCUUGUCAAAAUCACCAUUCCUCAUGUAUUUUAAUUCCAAUUGGGGGUAUAACUGAGUAUUGAAAGUGCUUCAAUUUCUAUCUUUUCUUAUACAGUAUCUCUUAACAUGCGCAACCUCCUCCUUGCUGCUCACUCUGGGAUGAAUUCACAGUGGGCUUAAGGUUCACAUCAACCAUGUCUUCU